rnacentral:lncRNA from 10 species
AUUUUUUCAAAGUAAAAUUAAUUCAAUUAAUGUUAUCAAAAUAAAUUAUGUGACUUUUUAAAGCACCAUAUCUAAUUCAUUGAUCCCUUUCACUAUUCCAAAUCUCUUCUCAAUGAAGUAAUUUUCAAUGGCAAACUGGAAUGUGUAAAAACUGUUAAUUUCAUAUAAUAUUCCUCCAAAUUUAAUCAAUAUUUGCUGUUUAAAGUUGUUUCUUCUAUAAAUUUGUCUUUGGCUAAUUUAAUCCUAAAACUUUACCACAUGUUCUGUUGUGUCUCUAUCAUAUCUUAAACAUCAUUUCCUCAUCAUCAUGGACUUCAGAGUGACCAGCAAUUAUCACAUAUUUUCUUGAUGAUCUUUUCCCCCAAGGUCUAGUUUGAGACUUUACAAAUGCUUACCAGUGGACUUCUAAAUCCUCAAGGGAAAGAAAUAAACACACACAGUGCCAGCUUUCUGGGGUCACCUUACUUGCAAAAGUGUUGCUUUUCGGCAUUGUUUUAAUAAACUCAGAGAGACUUGGAUCUUCUUUAGAAAAGAAUGUUAAUGACCACCAUCCAAAGACCACUGGAAGCACAGAGGCAGUCAAAGUUAGAUGUAUUAUUUGCUGAAGCAGGGGCCACCAUAUCCCAUGAGGAGCUCUGAAGUUAUCUCUGCAAAAAGGUGAUAUUGGGAGCAGAAAUGGGCAUCUCACUACGUUGCCCAAGGUGGUCUCAAACUCCUGGGUUCAAACGCUCCUCCCACCUCCAUCUCCCAAAGCAUUGGAAUAACGGGCAUGAGCCACCAUGCCUGGCCUCAACAUUGACAUUUACAUCAGUAGACUUUGAAUAAAGAAAAUUAAUCUCCAUAAUAUGAGUCGGCUUCAUCCAAUCAGUUGAAAGCCUUAAGAGUAAAGACUAAGAUUUCCAGAAGAAGCAGCAAUUCUGCCUCAAGAUUGCAGCAUAGAAUUCCUACUUCAGUUUCUCAUCUGUUGCCCUGCCCAGAAGAUUUUAGAUUCAAGACUGCAACAUCAGUUCUUACCUGAAUCUCCAGUCUGCCAGCCCACCAGUCAUGGGUCUCCAACAACUUCUGCAAUGCCUGACAGAACUCAAAGUAUCUUAUAGCUGUCUUUACAAGGGCUUUGGCAACAAU